GUGCUCACUUCAGCAGCAUAUAUACCAAAAUUGGAACAAUACAGAGAAGAUUAGCAUGGCCCCCUACGAAAGGAUGACACACAAAUUUGUGAAGAGUUCCAUAUGGGG